rnacentral:rRNA from 1 species
GAUGAACGCUGGCGGCGUGCUUAAUACAUGCAAGUCGAACGAACCGAAACGAAGCGCAAGUGGAGUAGAGGUUAGUGGCAGACGGGUGAGUAACACGUGGGUGACCUGCCCCGAAGUGGGGAAUAACUGACCGAAAGGUCAGCUAAUUCCGCAUGGGGUCUGGCUUUCGGUAGCUAGAUCAAAGGCGAAAGUCGCUUUGGGAGGGGCCCGCGGCCCAUCAGCUAGUUGGUAAGGUAACGGCUUACCAAGGCGAGGACGGGUAGCUGGUCUGAGAGGAUGAUCAGCCACAUUGGCACUGAGACACGGGCCAAACUCCCACGGGAGGCAGCAGUAAGGAAUAUUGCACAAUGGGGGAAACCCUGAUGCAGCAACGCCGCGUGGGCGACGAAGGCCUUCGGGUCGUAAAGCCUUUUCUGAGGGAAGAGAGAGGACGGUACCUCAGGAAUAAGUCUCGGCUAACUACGUG